UACGGAGGAUGCGAGCGUUAUCCGGAUUUAUUGGGUUUAAAGGGUGCGUAGGCGGCUUUUUAAGUCAGCGGUGAAAUUUUGCAGCUUAACUGUAACAGUGCCGUUGAUACUGGGGAGCUAGGAUUUGGUUGCUGUGGGUGGAAUGUGUGGUGUAGCGGUGAAAUGCUUAGAGAUCACACAGAAUAUCGAUUGCGAAGGCAGCUCACAAAGCCAAGAUUGACGCUGAGGCACGAAAGCGUGGGGAUCGAACAGGAUUAGA
rnacentral:rRNA from 1 species